rnacentral:lncRNA from 1 species
UUGUAAGAUGCUUGUAGCUCUACAUAUCAAGAAAACCAAAUGAUAGUUAUAGAUGCCCUAGAAAGCAGCUGUUGUUUUUAUUAUCUUUUUAAAGAACAUGCAAGUCAAUUUUCUUAUUUCCUUUUCUUCCCAAGGGAAGAGCUGCUUUACCUGCUAGAAGAAAGGGGGGGCCAAGGCUUACCUGUUAGAAGGCUGCCCCUUUAAGUCUGAGUACAGUCCGAGUGGAUGGAAAGGAAUGGUUCCUCAAAAGACUCCAAGUAGAAAUUUUGCCAUGCAAAGGGCCCCUGCGCUCUUCUGCAUCAUUAGCUCCCUCUCCCACUCCUGGCUCGGUGCCUUUCCUUCUCAUUUCACCUUGGUUCCCAACUCCCAUUUGCUCAAUCCUACCUCAAGCUCUGGUGCCUUAGUCAAUUAACUUGCUUCUCCAUCAGGCAGAUCCAUCUUUGUGAUGGCAGCCCGUCAUCUUCACCCUUUUGUCUGAAUGUGCUUGGAUGGACUUCUCUGACUUGGUCUUAGCACAGUCUCUACUGACCCAUGUGCAUGCACAGAAUAAGCCUGGGCAGGCAGGGCAGAGCACUAGAAGGACUUCUCCCUUCCCUGGUUUGUAGUCCAAGCACAACAUAUCGAAAGCUGCCAGUGUGGCCAGCAGGCCCCGAUCUCUGUGCCUGAUGGUCUGGGUCAGACCUAACUUUUUAGAGUAACAAUGGUUACAGUCGUGGACGGUAGGUCAGAGGCCACAUGAGAAUGGCUGACACUGAAAGAUGGGCUGUGCUUGAUUACCAUGUUUGAGCAAUUUGAAGGGAAAGAUUUCCAAAUGCUCUCAUUGAGACUAUAAGUAUUUUUUAGGAAGAGGCAAUGUAGAAUUCAUACACUUGCCACACAGGCCAAGUGCUUUCUAGCACUUGGAGAUGCAUGAGCUGCAGGAGAGUAUCCAUGAGGUGGGCCGAGGGGCUGAGGAUAUACCUAUCAUGAACACAUGGGUUUUUUUUUUUUCUUCAUAAAAACCAUCAAAGAUGUUAUUUAAAAACAUGCUGAGAAACGGUGUACAAAAAUGAAGCUAAUAGGAAGUGAUUACUUAUGCUACACAAGAAGCCUUCGACUAGCUUUCCUGAGCUCUGGAUGGAUUCUCAUUUUACUGAAAGCAUUUGUUAUUCAACCACUGCAUUGGGAGUCCUGGGACCUCUACAACCAGUGCUUUUAAGAAUUAAUAUCCUUCUCAAAAUUUAACUUUCAUGCUGAUUAUUAAAUCAUACAUACUCACGGAUAAAAAAGUAAAACAAAAAUGUAGAAGUAAGAAAAUCCCACAACUCUGAGAUAAUUAUGACUAAUAUUUUAGUGUAUUCCUUUUCCUUUCCAUAUAUGGACUAUGUGUGUGUCUAAAAUUCUUAAUUGCUGUAGUAUAGUACAUUAUAGAUGUAUCCCAAAAAAGCCAUUUAGACAUCUCACUUUUUAUAUAUUUAGAUGGUUUCUAAGUUUUAUGAUUUUAAAAAAAUGCUUCAGUGAAAAUCUUUUUGCAUAAAUAUUUGUUCUGAUUUUAGCAUAUUUUGAGCACAUCUUUAUAACAUCAAAAAUUUCAUAUGCUCCUAUAUUUUUACUAUCCAAUUAAAAAAAUCACCACAGCCAUCUAUAUACUUCAUGCUAUAUAUAUUUUGUUGCUAAAUAAACUCAAAAUAAUGAUUCCAACCUCAAGGAAUCUGAAGAUCCUCUGACCCCCUACAAACUCCAUGUACCAUCCCUUAGGAUCUAAGGCACGCAAAAUUAGUUACAAUACUAGUUUUAUUUUUACGGCAUUCAGAACCUAAAGGAACGAAGUCAACCUCAAAAGUUUAAGUCAUAAGUAUGUGAUUCCUAGAGAAAACACUUGACAUUAAGGAUUAAAUAAUGGAUUUCCUCCCAUUAUGAAGGGUGUCAGGGAAUCUUUAGUCUCUCACAAAUGGGUUAAGCAACACCGCUAUGUGCAUCCAUAGCAUCCCACCUGGCUUAUUUCCACACUUGUUUAAACUGCCACAUGCCCCACUCAGCUGUGACACUCACAGAAGCAGGUGACCAGCAAAUACUUGCUCUGAAUCACGCAUCAUGCUCUGCAAAGCGAGAGUCCUAAUUCUUUCCCACCACUACAUCCUUGGCAUUCCCUCCAGCAUCUGGCAACAAGUAUUUGUUGAAUGAAUGAGUGAAUGAAUGAAUGAAUGAACAAAUGAAGAAAUGAAUCUACUAGAGGAUUACUCUUACAAUUUCUUUAACUUAGGCCUUCCUACGCUCUUGAGAGGUCUUUUUUUUUUUUUUUAACAUUUUUAAAUGCUUUAAGACUUCUAGCUAAGUUACAAAAACAGUACAGAGAGUUCUCAUAAACUUCCCCUAAUAUUAACAUCUUACUUAAUAAUGGCACAGUGGUCAGAGCUAAGAAAUUAACAUUGUACAACACUACUGAGUCUCCUGGACAACCUGAGGAGUACUGGUCAGCCUUUUUUUUUUUUUCUUUUAAGAUUUUAUUUAUUUAUUCAUGAGAGACACAGAGAGAAAAAGGCAGACACAUAGGUAGACGGAGAAGCAGGCUCCAUGCAGUGGGACUUGAAUCCAGGACCCCGGGAUCUUGACCUGAGCCAAAGGCAGAUGCUCAACCACUGAGCCACCCAGGCGCCCUGGUCAGCUGUUUUGUAGAAUGUCCCUCCAAUCAGGUUUGAUGUUUUCUUGUAAGGGACUGAGAUCAUGGCUUUAGGGAAGAAUACCACAGAGGUGAUGUGAACCCCGGUUACUUGGUGAAGGUGACCUAUGCUGGAUUCUCCAAUACAAAGUUACUACUUCUCCCUUUCUGUUUAUGAGAGCCAGAGUCACUCAAGUCCAGCUCACACUCUGGGAAAGAGGUGAGUUCAGCAGUACCUCCUGGGGGGUGAAACCAUCAAAGGAUUUGUGAGUGCAUGUACAUGUUAAAACUACCAGAGCAAUCAAUAAAUAUUUUGGGGGAGACACUCUGAGGCUGUGCAACUAUUCUAUUUUCUCCAUAAACUUUUGCUCAUUCGUUUUCGCAUUCACUGGUGGAUCUUGCCUGCAGCAAUUACUACUAUGGUGUUCAAGGGGCAGUCUUUUGUUUUUCUUGGUCCUGAUUGAAGUUCUUCUGUAUAGAAGAGCUUUCCCUUUUUUCCUAUUUAGGCAGUCAUUUAUUUAGAUUAGUGCGGACUCAAAUGGAUGUUUACUUUAUCCUUUUGUUUGUAAUUCAACACUAGUGUUGUGAAUUAAUAUUAUUGUGCAAAUCGUCCCACCUUUGGCCAUUGGGAGCUCCUUCUGUGACACCAAGCAUGAUAAUUGGGGGGGGAAGGACCUAAAAUGAAGUUCUCAGGAACCAAUGGAAACAGGCAAACAAUGAAAAGGACAGAAGAGAAAAUGAGUCAAUUGAACAAUGUUUUAGAAACAGCUUUUAAAGAAAGAUAAAGAGGGAGAAAGCCCAUUGUUUCAAAGUAAGAAAAAUAAUUGCAGAAGAUCAGGGAAUCGGCUAUAGUACUACGCC